AACUUAAAGGAAUUUGACGGGGACCCGCACAAGCGGUGGAUGAUGUGGAUUAAUUCGAUGCAACGCGAACAACCUUACCUACCCUUGACAUGUCCGGAAGCCUGCUGAAAGGCGGGGGUGCCUGAAAGGGAACCGGAACACAGGUGCUGCAUGGCUGUCGUCAGCUCGUGUCGUGAGAUGUUGGGUUAAGUCCCGCAACGAGCGCAACCCUUGUCCCUAGUUGCUACGCAAGGGCACUCUAGGGAGACUGCCGGUGACAAACCGGAGGAAGGUGGGGAUGACGUCAAGUCCUCAUGGCCCUUAUGGGUAGGGCUUCACACGUCAUACAAUGGUCGGUACAGAGGGUCGCCAACCCGCGAGGGGGAGCCAAUCCCACAAAGCCGAUCGUAGUCCGGAUUGCAGUCUGCAACUCGACUGCAUGAAGCUGGAGUUGCUAGUAAACGCGCGUCAGCUAUAGUGCGUUGAAUACGUUCCCGGGUCUU
rnacentral:rRNA from 1 species